CAAUAGCGUAUAUUUAAGUUGUUGCAGUUAAAAAGCUCGUAGUUGGAUUUCGGGUGGGUACCGCCGGUCUCCCACUGGGUAUGUACUGGCGUGGCCCGCCUUGCUGUCGGGGACGAUCUCCUGGGCUUCACUGUCCGGGAAUCGGAGUCGACGAUGUUACUUUGAGUAAAUUAGAGUGUUCAAAGCAAGCCUACGCUCUGAAUAUAAUAGCAUGGGAUAACACGACAGGACUCUGGCCUAUCGUGUUGGUCUGUAGGACCGGAGUAAUGAUUAAGAGGGACAGUCGGGGGCAUUCGUAUUCCAUUGUCAGAGGUGAAAUUCUUGGAUUUAUGGAAGACGAACAUCUGCGAAAGCAUUUGUCAAGGAUGUUUUCAUUGAUCAAGAACGAAAGUUGGGGGCU
rnacentral:rRNA from 1 species